rnacentral:misc_RNA from 1 species
AAAGUCGUAACAAGGUUUCCGUAGGUGAACCUGCGGAAGGAUCAUUCACAAUGUGUUUAUGGCACUUUCAAUCCAUUACCCACCUUGUGUGCAUUGUCGGGGAGGACUCUUCAAUCUCCUUUUCUCUCUCUCUCUCUCUCGGGAGGAGGAAAAAUGGGGGCGAAGGGAUUCUCCUUUUUACACAUACUAUUAUUGUUCUUCAGUAUCAGUCUACUUUUUAUAGAGUGUAAAAAACUCGAAUACAACUUUCAACAACGGAUCUCUUGGCUCUC